rnacentral:snRNA from 1 species
GGAUGUAAGGGUGAUGUGACUGUGACUUCUGUCACCCCAUUGAUUACUAGGGUUGAUUGGGCUCAUCUGGUUGGCCAGGUGGGUGUCUCCUUCCUCCCUCACCUCUCCAUGUGCGUCCCUUCUGAAGCUGUGUGCUCAGUUGAAGAGGAUGGCCGUCCCUGAGAGAGGAGGACUGGUCUUUGGUCAAGGGUAUACAAGUACUGUGCUUCCCUGCUAGAACUUCCAAACAAGCUCCCAAGUAGCUAGGACUACGGGUGUGCACCACCACGCCCAGCUAAUUUUUUAUAUU